UACAAUUAGAAAACAGUGAAGAAGUGAAAGACAACAUUUUUUGUGAAGUGGAAAUAGCAAUGAUAUACCUCAUAAUCCUCUGAACCAUCUCAGGUUUAUGUGAAGCAGCUGGUGUGUUACCAGAUGGUCCUCUGAAUGCAUCUGUAGGAGGGACAGUGAUGUUCACCACAACUCUGACUCCAUCAGUGUCCAGUGUGUCCAGAGUCCAGAGUGUUCCAUCAUGGUUUUCAAACUGAAAAAGCCAAUAUCAGGGACUCAUGUGACACCAUCAACAAACCUGACCAUUGAGGGAAACCCUGUCAACUUAACCUGUAAUGCUUCUGGAUCUAUCGUUACCAGAAAAUGGAUGAAAGAUGGUUCAGAUCUGAUCCUGAAUGACAACAUGUCACUUUCUGAUAAUAACAAAGUGUUGUCUUUUAACACUGUAAACAGAGACAACAAUGGAGAUUAUCUCUGUAACAUCAGUAACCCUGUCAGCAGCAGUGAGGCUAAAUACAGGAUGGAUGUAUGGGCCAGAAAAUGUUCAAAUCACAGGUGAACGUGACAUAAAUGUGAAUGAGUCUAUAAAACUGAUCUGCUCUGCUGACUCUACUCCAUCUGCCACGUUCACCUGGAUGUUAAAUGGAACAGAGAUUCCUUCUAAUUCUCCUGAGUUCUCAAAAGAAAAUGCUGAACUUUCUGAUGCUGGAAUUUACACCUGUCAAGCGUUGAAUCACAUAACUGACAGAAGAUCAUCGGCAACUUCCGAAUUGUUUGUUCAUGCAGGUAUACCGUGCCCUCCAUAAUUAUUGGCACCCCUAGAUAAGAUGUGUUCUUUAGUUUCUAAUGCAUUCAGUUUUUUUCUUAAUAAAAUAGGACCACAAUGAAAAAAAAAGAGUAAAAUCCAAGCUUUAAUUCAAGUGCAUUUAUUCAGUAGGAAAAAAAUCCCACAUUAAGCAGUAAUUGUUUUACAUCAAAUCAUGUGUGCCAUUAUUAGCAUCCCUGAUGUUAAUACUUUGUACAACCCCCUUUUGCCAACAAAACAGCAUCUAAUCUUCUCCUAUACUGUUUCACAAGAUGGGAGAAUACAGAAAGAGGGAUCUUGGACCAUUCCUCUUUGCACAGUCUCUCUAAAUCAUCCAGCGACCUGGGUCCUCUCCUCUGCACUCUCCUCUUCAGCUCACCCCAUAGGUUUUCAAUGGGGCCAGACCCACUAAGAGCGUUUGUUGCCAAAAAGCACUAUCUUUGUCUCAUCUGACCAAAGCACACGGUCCCAGUUGAAGCCCCAGUGCUGCUUAGCAAACUCCAGGCGCUGCGUUUAUGAUUGUGAGUGAGAAAAGGUUUUUUCCGUGCAUGCCUCCCAACA